AAGGAGCACACAAAUAUUAAAGGAAUUUUGUAGAGUAUGCAAAAAAAAAAAAAAAACCACCAAAAAACAGAACAUUACCAGCAGACCAUAAUAUAAAAUUAGAAAUUAAUCAUAAAGCAGGGCACCUGGGUGCCUUAGUUAAGCGUCCUAGUCU
ensembl:misc_RNA